CUAAAAAACAAAAACAAAAAAGGUCCAAUAGAAAAAUAUCAUUUGACAUUAAUUUUUAUCAAAUAUUAGCAAAAACCAAUAGAAAGCAAACAGAAUAGUUUUUUUUUUUUUUUUAAUGACAGGAAAGCCAAGGGAGAAUAAGACUAGACAAGUAUUCUUUGAAAAACUGCUUUGCAAAAGUAAACAUUAAGAAAUGCACUUGAAAAUUAACAAGUAAACAAAGUCUUAUAAAUAUAGCUCCUCAUAAAAAGUGGUUUCCUCUGAAAACAUUUGACUAUGUCCAUGUCAGUCAGAACAACUAAUGUUAGCAUAUUUCUUCAAAUCCUAAUGUUUUCAGAAAGAAAUAUAACAAAAAAUUGAAAACAGAAUUCUGUAAAUAUUUGAGAGGCUCUAACCAGGAGUAGGAAGAAUUCCUUAAUCAGGCAUCCAAUGAAUGUGUCCUGAUAAAGACGGAUAAUUGAAUGGAAUGGAGGGAAUUUUAGACCAACAGAUUACUUACAAAAGUAUUAAAUCCUUAUUAUCCCAGCUUUCUCAAAGACCAAAACAACAAUAAAAAAGAACUAGGUAACUUAGAGCUAAAAAUCAAACACUUUCUAUAAAUACCCUAAAUCACAUACACAACCCUUUAUACUUUUCAAAUGUCAUAUACACAAGUUCAUCUUCCUGAAUAUUUAAGUAGUUCAUCAAAGUGCAUAUUAUUGGAGUUCUCAUCGUGGCUCGGUGGUUAACAACCCGACUAGUACCUAUGAGGACCUGGGUUCGAUCCCUGGCCUUGCUCGGUGGGUUGAGGAUCCAGUGUUGCCAUGAGCCGUGGUGUAGGUCACAGAUGCAGCUCGAUUCCAGCUGUUGUUGUGGCUGUGGCUGGCAGCUUCAGCUCCAAUUCUACCCCUAGCCUAGGAACCCAUGAGGCCCCCCAAAAAAAGACAAAAAAUAACAAUGUUUUUUAAAGUGCAUAUUAUUUAGAAGAGACAAAGUCUUUCAAUAAGCCAAAUUAGACUUCCGUGGUCCCUUCAACAACUGCUAAAUAGGUUGAUGGGAACAUAGAGUCUAAUUUUUGUCUCUUUUUAAGAGUUCUUUUGGUUUUGACUUUUGAAGAGCCUUUUGAAGUUAAUAUCCUCCAUCAACACUGCGCCUCAGAGCAGCUUUCCAACGCUCAAGGUACCAGUUGACCAACGCGGCCAGAGCCAAAGCUCUGUGCACAUCCCCUCUCACCUUUAGGGAGGUCACUCCUGACCCCAUUCCAGUCUCAAACCCCUCCUCCCUCCACCCAUCCCCUUCCCAUUCCAACUGAAAUAUCUCAACCCUUCCAGGCUAAAGAAGCUGCCUCCCAAAGAAACCCUAAGCUUAUCUGAAAAAUAAUUUCAACCUUAAGGGUAAAAGCCAGGAAGGACUGCCCCUCCUCUCCCCUCCCAGCCUUUCCUGCUAGUCCUCAAACCAUGACUCCCAGCUUUCCAGCUUAGGAUUCUAAUUCAGUGGUGGGAAUUUGGGGCCAGAAUGGGCAGGCAAUAUGGCAGCCAGUGGGAGAGGCACUUGGGAACAGACCUGGUGCUGCAGCCCCAUGAAGGGGGCUCCCUAUGUGAGUAGGCCACCUUGCCUGCCACCUUGGUAUCUCUGGAUUCUGCUCUAGUCUAGAUUGAGGAUGAUUAGUUCCUCUCUUUUGUUCCUUCAACCCACUCAAGUAUAGGCCACCCACAACAUGCUGCAAAACUGCAAACAUUACCGGAAGUCUCCAGACCUUGAUGUGCAGCCCCAGGCAAAACCCUAGAAUAGCAGACCUUGCAAUGGCCUAAUCCCUGGAGUCUGAGAUCUCAAGGGAAAAAAUGAGAGGUCAGGACUCAAGGUCCCUUAGGUUCUUUUCACUCUAAACAAUCAAGAUCUAAAAUUCAGCUUGGAUCCCCAGGCCAUCCCAGAGUAAAGUCUUUGGAGAAUGUGCUAAGUUUGCACAAUUCUGGCACUUCUGUCUUGGGGAGCCCAAACUAUGGACAGGAAGCAACUGGCAUUGCGGUCUGCUUACUGCUGAAAGAUUACUCUCCAGUUAGUGUUCUCCAGAAAAAUGGAGGAGAAGACUCUAUGACCUCUCACAGAAAAUACUUAACAUGACAGAAAAUACAAUGACAACACAUCCAAAGUACAAGCAGCAAAUCCCUUUUAUCUUUGAUAAUGAGUUAAUAAAAUGGAAUACAUAUGGUGGUUGCUAUGUGAGGAAAACACUCUGGUCAGCCUGGGAACCUAAAGAGCAUUACAGCCAUUUCUUUGACUUGUAUUUCCCUCCCCCACAUCUGGGGAUUUUAAAACAAAUGAAAGAAGGCAUUAUUCCAGCUUAAGGCAUAAGCAUAAGUCACAGAAGAACAAAGAAGGUUUUAUUAUCACAUUAAACAUCAAGGAGGAAAUGUGCUUACUGAUAACUAAUUUAGUGUUCAACCCUAUUAGGUGAGCAUUUGCUCUUUGCAAGCUUCUAGGCCAAUAUUUACAAUUUAUAUCUAAGACAAGGGUAAAAAUGUUUGGCUAGUGAGAAGGUCAUUAAGGAAAGGAAGGAGAAGGGAAAAAAAAAAAAAAACCCUUGGAAAAACAGAACAAAGUACAGAGAGAAAGGCACUCUUUGCACCUCAGUGGUCUAUAGAACAUUCGCCUUCUCUGCCUAUAAAGUGAUUUAACAUUAACCACAGGUCACUCUGGCAGCAGAGUCCUGCUUCCUGACAAAACAUUUCUGCAAGCUCCCCCCACCAACAAAAAAAUCCACAUACACCAAAGAACUGACAAACAUAUUGCCACAGGCCAGUGUCUUGGGCUUUCUGCCUAAGAAGUUUGCUUUCUUUCAGUUAAGAAGGAGAAAAAAAUACACACACUCUCUAACAACAACAGAUUGUACACUGAACGGCCCCCUUGCCUGCUGGCACCCUUCCCAAGCAGCAGUUCCAGUGGCUGGGCCUUGAGCCCAUUCAAGAAUUCCAACUCAUAGGAAGUGUUUCAAAUACAGCUAUUUGAUCUUCCAGCAUUUGCAAAGGCACCUGCUGAGCAAGAAGCCUGACAGCCAUCGCCCCAGUUCCUUCUUAUCCUAUCGUUAGCACCAGUCAGGGUAGGGGUGGUUUCAGACUAGGUGAGAUGCAAAGUACAGAAAACCCCACCCCAGUCUUACUGCUGCUGCACGAGGUUAGCUGCGACCUGAGACCUGCGGAUGUCGACUCCUCUCUACACACCAACUUCCCUGUCACUUUCUUCCCGGAGCAGGACUCUUCUUGAACCCUUCAGAGCUGGGAUUAAAAUGAACCAUAGCAACACCCAACGAACCUGCAAGGCAAAACUGCGAUUCAGAAGUGUCCAGGUCCAAGCCACUGAUCCAGCCAAGGACAAAGGAAAAGCCCAAAGAGUCCUGCUUGCCCACAGAUGCGGGUGGAGAGGUCAGCACAAACCCCAAGAAAAGCACAAUAGAGAAAUCAGGUGGAUCCUCGCUAGAACAGUUUCUUGGCUGAGAAGAUACACGCUGGAAGCCUCUGGUAAGACGAAGCUCCCCUACUGAACUGGUCAUUGUUAACGCAACCCUCUACCACUGUGAACGUGGGAAGCACUGUCAACUAUGCGCUCUGAAAGAGGAAGGAAAAAGGAUCAUUUUCAUUCUGUUCUUUUACCUCCCCUUUCCUGAAUAAACCAGAAUCACUAUCAUGCUA